rnacentral:lncRNA from 1 species
GGGGGGAGGGGGCCUCGGCAGAGGUCGGUAACGGACAUCGGUGAAUCCGCGGCGGAGAUGGGAGCCGGCGGGGCACGUGGGGUGCGGGACCAGCGAGAAUGAAACAUCAUCAAUAUAAUCUAUAUCCGGAUAGAAUCUGUGAUCAUUCAGACCUUCGCUGGAAGGAAUUUGCAUCUGGAAAACCUCAGCUGAACGGAGGAGCAGUGUAAACAUUUACACAGAACUUGGCAGUCAGCCAAGCAGCCACUGACCGCUUCCCGGCCGGGGGCGGAGCACUGCUCAGAUUGAGCGGCCAUGCGGCCACCCCUAGAAUGUACUGAGUUCCCUCUCUAGACUGAGGCACAGUGAAGCUCCAAGUCUUAUCCGCAGGGUCGCAGCAGCCCGGCUCCAGACCCCUCAGCGCCCUGGCCCCUCCGGACCCCAGAAGUGGUGGGUCCCCAGCCAUCUAAAUUAAAAUGGAAAAGGAAAAGUCUUACCUAGAGGAGUAGGUUGGCCCAAAUGUGCAGAGGGCGGGGCUUUCUACAGGAACGAAAAGGAAAGUGGAAUUCGAGUACCUUCCAUGUGUGACGUAUGUCCUGGUAGAGAGACUCGCCACUCAUUAUUUGCUCUAAAUCUCAGAACCAACUUGCUUGAUCCCAUUUCACAGGCACGCGACACCCCUCAAGCCGCUUGCGCCCUAACCCCACGCCGCGCGUUCUGCCUGGAGGCCCCCCACCUGACACAGGCACCUGCAAGAGAGACCUCGCCCCUGCCCCUUAGAAAUGCCGCCUGA